AGAACGAACGCUGGCGGCAUGCCUAACACAUGCAAGUCGAACGUGAUCCAGGCUUCGGCCUGGUGAAAGUGGCAGACGGGUGAGUAACGCGUGGGAACCUGCCCUGUGGUAGGGAAUAACCGUGGGAAACUGCGGCUAAUACCCUAUGAGUCCUUCGGGAGAAAGAUUUAUCGCCAUAGGAGGGGCCCGCGUCGGAUUAGGUAGUUGGUGGGGUAACGGCCUACCAAGCCUUCGAUCCGUAGCUGGUCUGAGAGGAUGAUCAGCCACACUGGGACUGAGAUACGGCCCAGACUCCUACGGGAGGCAGCAGUGGGGAAUAUUGGACAAUGGGGGCAACCCUGAUCCAGCAAUGCCGCGUGGAUGAUGAAGGCCUUCGGGUUGUAAAGUCCUUUCGGCGGGGAAGAUGAUGACGGUAGCGGGAGAGAAGCCCCGGCUAACUCGUGCCAGCAGCC
rnacentral:rRNA from 1 species